rnacentral:rRNA from 1 species
AAUGAACGUUGGCGGCGUGGAUUAGGCAUGCAAGUCGAGCGCGAACCCCGCAAGGGGUGAAAGCGGCGAAAGGGAGAGUAACGCGUGGGUAUCUGCCCUCGGGACUGGGAUAGCUGCGGGAAACUGCAGGUAAUACCAGAUGACGUCCCCGGACCAAAGGUGUGAUUCCGCCUGAGGAUGAGCCCGCGUCCUAUUAGCUAGUUGGUAGGGUAAUGGCCUACCAAGGCAAUGAUGGGUACUGGGUGUGAGAGCACGACCCAGCUCACUGGGACUGAGACACUGACCAGACACCUAGGGGUGGCUGCAGUCGAGAAUCUUCGGCAAUGGGCGAAGGCCUGACCGAGCGAGGCCGCGUGUGGGAUGAAGGCCUUCGGGUUGUAAACCGCUGUCAGAGGGGAGGAAUGGGCGGAGGGUAAUCUCUUCGUUUUGACCUAUCCUCAGAGGAAGUACGGGCUAAGUUCGUGCCAGCCGCCGCCGUAA